rnacentral:lncRNA from 1 species
AAAGAAGAUAAAAUAAAUAAAUAAAUAAAACUUGCUCACAGUCACUCAGCUAGGCAGGAGGUGCAAUCAGGAUUCAAAUCUAGAUCUAGCAGGCUCUGAAGUGUUGCUCUUAUCACUGUCCGGGAACACGGCUUGCACGGACCCACAAAGGCGUUUUCCCAACCUACCAAGAUUCUCUUUCUUGCAUGAUGCGGUGACGCCCUUCGGCCUGACUCUGCAUUUCAUGUCUUAACUGUGCCUCCAGGUCAUGACGGGCUUCAGGACGAAGACAGCGCACAUGUGUUUCCUUCCUUCUAAGAGUUUCUACUUACUGGGCAUUUGCUCGGGUCACCAAGACCCCUUUUAAGGGGAGAGGUGUUUAGAGCAUUCCAGUAUCAGUAAGCAGUGAAUCACUCGUAAGAACUGGAUGAAAUGAAAAUAUUCGGAAGAGUGUCGGGCCAAUGCACCAUUUUGGUAUUCAUCUUCAAUAGAGUUCUGAGCAAAAGAAGAGGCUCAGGCAUAGAGGCUUUCUUCUUUAUACUUUGGUGAAGGGGAUAGAAGUUGACGUCACAGGUGGAAGGGAAAGACAGGAGUAGCAAGGAGUGUCUUCUGCCUUCCGGCAGUAGCAUCUGGAGAUGCCUUCCAUGUGUUACUAACCACAAUGGGAAGAUAGCACCAAAGCCAGUAAGUCAGCCCUCAAGAUGAUUCAGAGUUCUGGGGUAAUUUAUUAUACACUCGUAAACAACGAAUGCAUUAUUUUAUUAUGAUGCGUGAGGUGCUUCUGUAAGAGAAACCUGAAAUGUUGGAGUGGCUUUGGAACUGGACAGCGGGGGAAGCUGGAAGGACUUGGGAGAGAGUGUCAGCGAAAGCCCUUAAAGUCUUGAAGAAUCUGUGAGUACAAUCCUGAUGGGCUUUGAGAAGGCUGUAGAUGAAGGCUUUAGGGGAAAUAAGGAAAAGGUUAUUGAAAACUGGAGGAGAGGGGUCCUUGUAACACAGUGGCAGGAAGUUUAGCAACACUGUCAUCUGGAGGGAUGUAGAAAGUACAAAAUGUGUCUAAUUAAUGGAGUGUUCUAGCUCAGUAUAUUUCCAGGUAGAGUGUUGAAGGUGCUGACUGAUGUCUUCUUCCUUAUUAUAGCAAAAUGUGAGGAGAAAAAUCUAAAGAAGGGCUAAAAAGAAGCCCAGAACUUGCUAGACUAGAAAAUUCCCAUCUUCUCUGGAUGACGAAUAAUGCUGAAAUGAAGAAACGGUUUCCACUCAAAAAAUAAACUCUAGGAUACUUCAAGGAGCA